rnacentral:tRNA from 15 species
GACACUGUGGCGGAGUGGUUAACGCGAUGCCCUGCUAAGGCAUUGCCUUCGGGCGCGCAGGUUCGAAUCCUGCCGGUGUCG